rnacentral:rRNA from 1 species
UGCGUCGGAACGUGCCGAGUAGUGGGGGAUAACACAGCGAAAGUUGUGCUAAUACCGCAUACGUACUGAGGUAGAAAGUGGGGGACCUUCGGGCCUCACGCUAUUCGAGCGGCCGACGUCUGAUUAGCUAGUAGGUGAGGUAAAGGCUCACCUAGGCGACGAUCAGUAGCGGGUCUGAGAGGAUGAUCCGCCACACUGGGACUGAGACACGGCCCAGACUCCUACGGGAGGCAGCAGUGGGGAAUUUUGGACAAUGGGCGAAAGCCUGAUCCAGCCAUGCCGCGUGUCUGAAGAAGGCCUUCGGGUUGUAAAGGACUUUUGUCAGGGAGGAAAUCCCUAGCGUUAAUACCGCUGGGGGAUGACAGUACCUGAAGAAUAAGCACCGGCUAACUACGUG